GACGAACGCUGGCGGCGUGGAUUAGGCAUGCAAGUCGAACGGUAUCAUCCUUUCGGGGGUGAGAGAGUGGCGAACUGGUGAGUAACACGUAGGUUAUCUACCCUCAAGACGGGGACAACCCAGGGAAACUUGGGCUAAUACCGGAUGUGAGCAACUUUUAGUUGUUUGAAAGGUGGCGUAAGCUGUCGCUUGGGGAUGAGCCUGCGUCCUAUUAGUUAGUUGGUGAGGUAACGGCUCACCUAGGCAAUGAUAGGUAGGCGGCCUUAACGGGUGGUCGCCCACACUGGGAUUGAGAUACGGCCCAGACUCCUACGGGAGGCAGCAGUCGAGAAUAGUCUACAAUGGUCGGAAGACUGAUAGUGCGACGCCGCGUGAACGAUGAAUCCCUUCGGGGUGUAAAGUUCUUUUAUAUGUGAGCAGUGCUUCUUAUAUUAACAGUAUGGGGAGAGAGAUAUUAGCAUAUGAAUAAGCAACGGCUAACUCCGUGCCAGCAGCCGCGUAAUA
rnacentral:rRNA from 1 species